rnacentral:rRNA from 1 species
CGCCCACUAGCUAGCCCCCCAAACCAAAAACAACACACCAAUAUAAAUACCCCUAAAUGCACUAACACCCGCAUAAAACAAACCAUUUUUCCCCCUUAGUAUGGGCGACAGAAAAGGGACCGUGGCGCAAUAGAGAAAGUACCGCAAGGGAACGCUGAAAGAGUAAUGAAACAACUCAGUCAAGCCAAAAAAAGCAGAGAUUUAAGCUCGUACCUUUUGCAUCAUGAUUUAGCCAGAAAAACCCAAGCAAAGAGCCCUUUAGUUUGGUUCCCCGAAACUAAGUGAGCUACUCCAAGACAGCCUAUUAAUAGGGCAAACCCGUCCCUGUGGCAAAAGGGUGGGAAGAGCUUUGAGUAGAGGUGACAAACCUACCGAACUUAGUUAUAGCUGGUUGCCUGAGAAUUGAAUAGAAGUUCAGCCUCUCGGCUUCUCCCCUCACCCUCGUCCGACUCCCCUCUGACACCUUAAGAAACCGCGAGAGUUACUCAAAGGGGGUACAGCCCCUUUGAGACAAGACACAACUUUACCAGGAGGGUAAAGAUCAUAAUAACAUAAAGGUAAAAUGUUCUGGUGGGCCUAAAAGCAGCCAUCCCUAUAGAAAGCGUUAAAGCUCAGACAUACCCCCUAUCCUUUUAUACUGAUAAUCUAAUCUUAGCCCCCUAGCCCUACCAGGCCAUCCCAUGCAAACAUGGGAGCGACUAUGCUAAUAUGAGUAAUAAGAGAGCCUCCGCCUCUCUCCUUGCACACGUGUAAAUCGGAAUGGACCCCCCCCACCGAAUCUUAACGGCCCCAAACAAAGAGGGAACUGAACAACAGACCAAACAACCAGAAAACCAUCCAACAAACAACCGUUAACCCCACACUGGUGUGCCCCUAAGGAAAGACUAAAAGAAAAAGAAGGAACUCGGCAAACACAUAAAGCCUCGCCUGUUUACCAAAAACAUCGCCUCUUGCAAAACUGAGGAAUAAGAGGUCCCGCCUGCCCUGUGACUAUAUGUUUAACGGCCGCGGUAUUUUGACCGUGCGAAGGUAGCGCAAUCACUUGUCUUUUAAAUGGAGACCUGUAUGAAUGGCAUAACGAGGGCUUAGCUGUCUCCUUUUUCAAGUCAAUGAAAUUGAUCUCCCCGUGCAGAAGCGGGGAUAACACCAUAAGACGAGAAGACCCUAUGGAGCUUUAGACACCAAGGCAGAUCAUGUUAAACACCCCUUCACAAAGGACUAAACCAGAUGAACCCUGCCCUAAUGUCUUUGGUUGGGGCGACCGCGGGGAAACAAAAAACCCCCACGUGGAAUGGGAAUACUCCUUCCUACAACUAAGAGCUCCCGCUCUAAUGACCAGAACUUCUGACCAAUCAGAUCCGGCAACGCCGAUCAACGAACCGAGUUACCCUAGGGAUAACAGCGCAAUCCCCUUUUAGAGCCCAUAUCGACAAGGGGGUUUACGACCUCGAUGUUGGAUCAGGACAUCCUAAUGGUGCAGCCGCUAUUAAGGGUUCGUUUGUUCAACGAUUAAAGUCCUACGUGAUCUGAGUUCAGACCGGAGU